CAAUCGCUUAGAAGCGCGGCCGACUCCUAUCGCGGCUUCCUCACGGGAUCUCCGCUGCUCACAGCGUCCUCUCCGCGGCCGACGACCUCGCUCCCGCUGCAGCAACGACGUACCGUCGUCGUGCGUCGCCGUCCGCCGCCGCCGUCGCCCAAUCGCGAGUCGCGAUUCUCGUCACGGCAGUUGCGGAACAGACGAAAAUCUCAGUCACAAACAAAAUUUCAGAUUGGAGACUGAACAAGGGUUAAUUUUGUGCCGAUCCUAUCUCCCGACCUGUCCUUAUCUGUUUGUGCCCUACUAUUAAUUCUCAUCUCGUGCUGAGGAAUCGAACAACCAUGUCGUCUCUGAGGAACGCCAUCCCUCGAAGGACUCACAAAGAGCGAGCUCAGCCCCGAGAAAGAAAGAAGUUUGGGCUUCUCGAGAAGCACAAGGAUUAUGUCCUGCGAGCGCGGGCAUUCCACCAGAAGGAAGAUACUCUAAGGAGACUAAGAGAUAAGGCAGCUUCUAAAAAUCCAGAUGAGUUCUACUUCAAGAUGGUUAACACACGAAUGGUUGACGGGAUUCAUAGACCCAAGAGCGAAGCUAACAAGUACACACCGGAGCAGCUCAUGCUGAUGAAGACACAAGAUAUUGGAUAUGUUCUUCAGAAAGUUCAAAGUGAAAAGAAGAAAAUUGAAAGAUUAAAUUCUGCCCUUCAUACACUGGAUCAUCAGCCUGAGAACAAGCAUGUGUAUUAUGCUGAGGAUAGGGAAGAAGCCAAAGAAAUACAGUCUAGACAAUUUGAAAAGAGGGAUUCACUUGCUUCUGUAAAGGUUCCAGGUCGUAUAAAAAAGAAAAUAGCUGCAUCUUACAGAGAACUGGAAGCAAGGCAAAAAAGGGUUCAAGACCUGGAAAAGCUCUACUCGGAUAUGGCCUUGCAAAAAGAAUUGCAGAAAUCUGGGAGAAAGCGUAAACUCCGUGAAGAUGAAAUUGUUCAACCGACAACUAGACCCGUGUAUAAAUGGCGUGCAGAACGCAAGCGUUAAAUUAUAUUCAUUGUCGCCACUAAUUUGUUGCUACUCAUCUUUAUGAAACCCCAGUGGUUGGUUGGUUCAAGGAAAUAAAUUGAUCGAUUCAAAGAACAUGUGCAGUUACUUGUGCAGUGAAGCAGAUGAGUUAUCUGGUACAAUGAUUGAUAGGGAAAGUGGGAGUGGCUUGGACCUGCAAGUGGAUUCUCCACUCUAGACAACGUCAAAUUGCAUCCAUGUUAUGUCUCCUAUGUGGGUAAUACAUUGAUGCUGAUCUGUUGGAUGAGGAAAAGCUCAAGUGAAAGACCCUCUCAGCUCUUCUCCUUCAAGAUAGCAAAAGGUACAUCUGAAAGAAAGAGAGCCAUCCACUGAAGCCACACACCUUCCAUGUCCAUGGAGAAAAGGAGUAUGUUGGUCACUAACAUCUCAAAGGGGAGGUGGAAGCCUGACUUUGCUAUGUUUCAAAUAACCUACUCAAAUGUUUUCAUUUGUGCUAUUCUGUGCUGAUUUUUCACUCUUUUUCUCUGUGUGUCAAUGAAACAAAAGAAGU